GAUGAACGCUAGCUACAGGCUUAACACAUGCAAGUCGAGGGGAAACGAUAGAGAAAGCUUGCUUUUUCUAGGCGUCGACCGGCGCACGGGUGAGUAACGCGUAUCCAACCUGCCCACCACUUGGGGAUAACCUUGCGAAAGUAAGACUAAUACCCAAUGACGUCUCUAGAAGACAUCUGAAAGAGAUUAAAGAUUUAUCGGUGAUGGAUGGGGAUGCGUCUGAUUAGCUUGUUGGCGGGGUAACGGCCCACCAAGGCGACGAUCAGUAGGGGUUCUGAGAGGAACGGUCCCCCACAUUGGAACUGAGACACGGCCCAGACUCC
rnacentral:rRNA from 1 species